GCUGUGGUGGUUCAGUGGUAGAAUUCUCCCCUUCCAUGGUGAGAGACCUGGGUUCGAUUCCUGGCCAAUGCA
rnacentral:tRNA from 1 species